CUGUAUACAAAUAUGAAAAAUGUGAUAUCACAAAAAAAUUAAAAAAUUCAAAUAAAGUUCAAAAAAAAUUCAAACAAAGGCUUUGAAGUUAUUGUGUUUCCAAAAAAGAAUUGAAGGAGACAUAUUCAUUGAGGCCUUUCGGUUGCACUGUAUCCAAUGUCCUAAUCCAGUAGGUUUCUCGUUGCAGAAGGAUUCUAGAUCGAUCACCUCCUCUAGAUAGUGGGGGGAUGUUGUCAAUGCCGAUUAAUUUUAAGGUCGGGAGACGAUGAUGUGCCUCUAAAAAAAAUUUUUGGCUAUCAUAUUAUUGGUCCUGCCAUCCCUGUAGGCAGUCAUGAUUCCUGAACGAUAACCACGCAUCG